GAGUACUGCAGUUUGUCAAAGAUCAGCUGUGAAGUUCUGGGUUUGGUUCUGAAGAACAACCCGUCCAGACUGACACAAAUGGACCUGAGCGUGAACAACAUCCAGGAUUCCGGAUUUCUUCAUCUGCGUGGUUUUCUGGAGAGUCCAGACUGCAGACUGCAGACUCUGGGGUUGUGGAACUGCAGUUUGUCAAAGAUCAGCUGUGCUGCUCUGGUAUCAACUCUGAAUUUAAACCCGUCCCACCUGACAGAACUGCACCUGAGCCACAACAACCUUCAUUCUUCAGAUGUUCAGCAGCUCCAGGAUCUGGUGGAGAGUCCAAACUCCAAACUGCAGACUCUGAGGUGGGAGGGAAAAUCUCUUAUCAUUUUCCACUGAUAGAUCAUAGAGGAGCAUCGUCAUCACCAUCAUCAUCAUCAUCAUCAGCUGGUCUGCAGAGAUGUUGUUCCUGGAGGUGGAGAGCAGAGGGGGAAAUCAGAGGAAGUGGAAAUGAGUGUCAGAGCGGCAGCAUGAACUGAUCUGAGAUCAGCUCCACUGUCUCUCUCAGCAUCAAGUGGACAGUUAUUGUGCUGCAGCUCCCCCGGUGGACUGACGGAGAACUGCACUUCAUCUUCUCAUUCCAACUUGGAGUGUUGGGAAGUCUUCUGCUUCUCUUCUCUCUCGGAUUUGGAGCUUCUCUUAACUUUGUCCACACACUCUUGCUGUAGUUUUCUCCUCAUGUGUCCUGAAACUGUUUCUCUGAAUGAUCUGUGUUGGUGAUUCAUCAGAUUCAGACAUGAUGGUUUCCUGCAGAAGCUCAGAAGUCUUUUCUGGUGUUUCUUGGACUCCUGCACGUCUCUGUACCACAGAGUGGACCAGCAUUCUCUGAACAUCCUUCAGCUGGUCCAGAAAGCAGCAGCAUGGCUGUUGACCAAAGAAAGAAAACCUUCCAGCAGUUCUGGCCUCAGGAUUCUCCAUCUGGGAGCAUUUUGGUUCUUCUUUUUCAUCUUUAUCAGACCUUUCAGAACCACAAAGUGGACUGAGUUCCUCUGAUUAAAGGCUGCUGGGUUUUGUAUUUUGUUCAUUAUUUUACAGGAUUUUGUUCUAUUGUAACCAUGGUAACUGUGGGAACCGCACUCCUGUUUACUCUGAGUCCUGAAGCAGAAAUUCCACCAGAACUAACAAAAGUCUCUCAGUUGAAUCAUUUUUAUAUCAUCUCUGUUCUGUUGAUGAUAAAAUAUUGACUCAUGCAGUUUGAAAGACUCGGAGUUUUAGUUUGAUGUUUUCUACAGUUUUAUGAUUGAACUUCCUUUUUCUUUGUUGUUUUCAGGGUAAAACUGUUCUUUUUCAUGCUGACAGCAUUAUUAGCUGCAGUUUUAAAGAAGUUUCAUCUAAAUCCAGUAGAAUCUGAUCAUUUUCUAGAAAGUCUGAAACUAGUAGAAACUUUCUGAGCAUAAAGCCUGUUUUCUCCAGAGGACAUGAAUGAACAGAGUGGAUGUUAGUGAGGAAUGACAGAGAAUCACUUUGAUGCAGCUGCUGCAACAACACUAACUGCAUUGAAGCAGGAGGGAGAAGGGAGACACCUGCUGGCUGUUUCCAGAACUGCAUCUUAGUGUCUAAAGGUUCAAACUGAAAGCUGUCUGUCAAAUUCCUGCAGCCUGUUUGGAUCUAAUAAAUGCUCUUUUGAAUCAA